rnacentral:lncRNA from 1 species
GCACCUUCAUUAACUAGUGAUCAACAUGGGCACAUUCAACAUAUGCUAGAUGGAGACAUUUCUACUGCUAAUGUGAUGGCUAACAUGGCAGGUAUGGCUCAUACUCUUGAAUCUAAGUUUGCAGACUUAGAAUGGAUAAUUGAUAGUGGUGCCACUAACCACAUGGUUUCUAGUUUAGAUGUCUUAUAUGAUGUGAAAGAGGUUAAACCUGAUCAGAACAGGAAGGUACAUUUACCUAAUGGAGGAGUGACUUUUGUUACUCAUACUGGUAGCUGCAAUGUCAUGGACACAAGAGAAUUACAUGAUGUUCUGUUUGUGCCUCAGUUUCAUUAUAAUCUUUUGUCCAUAACAAAGGUUACCAAGGAACUCAAUUGUUAUGUAUCAUUUUAUCCUGGAUUUUGUGUAUUCCAGGACCUUCCAGUGGGAAAUUGAAAGGGAUUGGUAAGGAGAAGGAUGGCCUCUAUUUCUUGAUUCAGUGAGGUCCCAAACACAACACUCAUGCUCCUAUUAAAGGUUUUGCUGCAAGUGAUGUCAACAAGGAUAUUAUGCUUUGGCAUAGAAGACUAGCCCAUGCUUCAGUAGGGUCAAUAAAGGAUAUGUUAGGCUACACUAUUGAUGCAUGUUGUAAUUAAAUGGUAGAUCUUCUCUUAUUCCAGUAGGUGAACAGUGAAUAAAUACAAUACAUAAGGUGCUAACUAAGGAAAGAAAUAAAGAGUGAUUCCUACAGAUCUGCAGUGAUCCCUAUAAAUCUGCUGCCUAUAUAUAGCUAUGUAUAUUACUAAGAUUAAGUCUAUAUACAUUCUAUAACACUUCCCCUCAAGCUGGAGCAUAUAUGUUGAUCAUGCCCAGCUUGUUACAAAGAUAAUCAACUCGAGUUCCAUUCAACGCCUUUGUGAGCAAAUCAGCUACUUGCUUUCCUGUCUUCACGUAGCCGAUGGAAAUCAAGUUUUCCUGAAUCUUCUCACGAAUAAAAUGACAGUCAACCUCAAUGUGUUUAGUUCUUUCAUGAUACACCGGAAUUGAGGCAAUAUGCAAGGCAGCUUGAUUAUCAUACCAAAGUUUUGCUGGUGUAUGAUAUUCCAACCCAAUUUCAGUUAGAAGAUGAUAUAUCCACAUAAUCUCACAUGUAGACUGUGACAUAGCUCUAUAUUCAGAUUCUGCACUGGAUCGAGAUACAACACUUUGCUUCUUACUCCUCUAUGACACUAGGUUCCCUCCAACAAAGACACAAUAGCCUGUAGUCGAUCUCCUAUCAAUUUUGGAUCCAGCAUAGUCAGCAUCUGCAAAACACUCAACACGAGUAUAACUGUGAUUGCUAUAUAAUAUCCUAAGACCCGGGGCUCCUUUCAAGUAACAUAAAAUAUGUUCCAAAGCUGCCCAGUGUUUGACUGUAGGUGAGGACAUGAACUGGCUAACAACACUUACGGCAAAAGCAAUGUCUGGACGAGUCACAACAAGGUAGUUUAACUUUCCAACUAACCUCCUGUAUCUCUCAGGAUCAUCAAAGGGGUCGCCGUCAUCUUUCAUAAGUUGCACAUUGGGAACCAUUGGAGUACUGCAAGGUUUAGCUGCCAACUUUCCAGUGUCUGCAAGAAGAUCAAGAGUAUACUUUCUCUGAGACAAAAGAAUUCUCUUCUUGUUUAUAUUUACCUCUAUACCCAAAAAGUACUUCAACUGAUCCAAAUCUUUCGUAUGAAACCUAGUAUGCAGGAAGGAUUUGAGGGAAGAGAUCCCUGCAUAAUCACUUCCUGUGAUGACAAUGUCAUCAACAUACAGUACUAGCUGGAUAGUGCCAACUGUUGAUUGUCGAUAGAAGACUGAGUGAUCACAUUUGCUCAUUUUCAUCCCAAACUCCAGGACUACCUCACUAAACUUCCCAAACCAAGCUCGGGGACUCUGUUUCAAGCCAUACAAGGACUUCUUCAAAUAACAGACUCGCCCAUACUCCCCCUGAGCAACAAAACCAGGUGGUUGCUCCAUAUAUACUUCCUCUUGAAGAUCACCAUGAAGGAAUGCAUUUUUGAUAUCCAACUGAUGUAAAGGCCAAUUCGCAGAAGCAGCUAGAGAAAUGAACAAGCGGACAGAAGUAAGUUUCGCAACCGGAGAGAAAGUGUCUGAAUAAUCCACUCCAUAAGUUUGAGCAUACCCUUUAGCCACAAGCCUAGCCUUAAGUCUUGCCACAGAACCAUCUGGAUUAACUUUAACUGUGAACACCCACUUACAUCCCACUGGUUUCUUCGUGCUAGGUAAAUCCACCAAAUCCCACGUGUGAUUUUCCUCUAAGGCAUGUAUUUCCUCAAGCAUCGCAUCAUACCAUCCAGGAGGCACAAUAGUAGAUUGGUGCUCAAUUGAAGAAUCAGGCGAUGUAUGAGAAACAUCAUUUGAUCGUUCUGGUAUGGCCCUGGUAACUUGGUACACUAACCACUCAUCUUCUUCCCCCUGACCCGUAGAAAUGGGAGGUGCAUAGAAGAAUGGUGUAGCCUUCGAAAAGGCUACAUCAGUUGAUACCAAAUAUUUUCCAAGUUCAGUAGAGUAACAACGAUAUCCUUUCUGAAGGCGAGAAUAUCCCAAGAAAACAUACUUCAAGGCCUUGGGAUCCAACUUGGUAACUGAUGGUCGAACAUCUCUAACAUAACAAACGCUUCCAAAUACCUUAGGUUCCACUGGAAAUAGGGACUUAUUUGGAAAAAGAAUGUUAUAGGGUACAUUACAUACAAGCACAGUAGAUGGCAUGCGAUUAAUCAGGAAAGAAGCUGUAGAGAUUGCAUCGGCCCAAGACUGUUUAGGAACCUUUGUUUGAAACAAUAGUGCCCGAGCUGUCUCAAGUAGAUGCCUAUUUUUUCUUUCAGCAACUCCAUUCUGAGAAGGCGUAUCAACACAAGAUGACUGGUGGAGAAUCCCAUGUUGCCUCAUAUACGACUGAAAUGAUUCUGACAUGUAUUCUUUAGCAUUAUCACUCCUUAGAAUACGCACUGACAUAUUGAACUGAGUUUUGACUUCAGCUCAAAAAGCACAAAAGUGAGUAAACACUUCAGAACGACUCUUCAUAAAAUAAAUCCAAGUCAUUUGAGAGAAAUCAUCCACAAAUGUGACAAAAUACUUAUGUCUGGUUUUGGAAACAACAGGACAUGGUCCCCAAACAUCUGAAUGAACUAACUCAAAAAUUGACUCCACCCGCUUAUUAACCCUUGGUUUUGUUGAGCUACGAUAGUGUUUGGCAAAUUGACACGACUCACAAUCUAGUGAAGGAAUAUUCUGAAACUGAGGAAAAAAGCUUCUUCAACAUAGGCAAAGAAGGAUGUCCUAAUCGACAAUGUGCCUCAAAUAGAGACACGACACAAGAGUAGGCAGCAAAUCGAGGCUCCCAAUAUUCAUCAAGAAUGUAGAGACUAUCGGAUACAUGUCCUUUACCAAUAACUUUAUUUGUCUUCAGAUCACGAAACAAACAAUGAUCGGGAAAGAAAGAGAUAUAACAGUUUAGGUCUCUGGUAAGCUUACUAACAGACAUCAAAUUAAAGGCUAACUUUGGUAGACCUAAUACAGAUGACAAGGUAAUGGAAGAAGUUGGUUUUACAGUCCCAGAUCCUAUAGUAUUACAGAUUGAACCAUCAGCAACCGUCACAGGAGAGAGUGCUCCAUGUGAUCGAAAGCUAGAAUAUAUAUUAAGAUUACCUGUCAUGUGAUCUGUGGCACCUGAAUCGAUCACCCAUUUAUUUGAAGAGGAUAUAAGACAUGUUUUCCUUGACUCAACAAGGGUAGUAACUGAAAUAGAUUCUUUUUGUAAUUUUUGAUGUUGUGAGAAUUUUGCAAACUCUUCCGCCGAAACCAAAGUUCUUUUAUCCGAAGACAUAGGAGCCACAAUUUCAGUCAUUCUCUCCAAAUAUUUUUAGCAGCACAAGAACUUAUCAACAGAAAAUAUAACCAGAAGCAUGUACGUGACCCCACAAAUAUUGAUGAACAAAUUCUAAAAAAUGAUUUUAUCAACUAAGAAACCAAUUGUUCACCCAAAAUGAAGAAUCUGAGUACUUUACCAGUAGACAAGAGCAAGUAAUGAACAAUUAAAUACCCAAGCAAGUAGUUCAGAGAAAGAAAACCUGAACCGCAGCUUAUGACCAAACAACACCAAUUAUCUGAUCUGAAGUAGAAGCUAGCAGCCACAGAACCACAAAGUACAGACCAGAUUCAGUGUAGCAGAAUAGAAAUGAACCAGGAAGUGACGAACAAACUUUUCCAGAUCGUAUUUUAACACCAAAACAGACCUGAGAAGUGACCGAACAGACUUUCCAGAUCUAUUUUAACACCAGAAUAGACCUGAGAUUCACUAGAAAUACGUGUCGAUGCCGUAAAUUAAAACCCAAUCAAUUCAGCCAGACACGCACCUUCACGUGCCGGCUCGUGAUGAACAAAAGACUGUAUGACCAGUGCGUGACAGCCACUCGCUUCACAACCAGAUGCCAGUGAAGACUGGUUUGGCUGGAAAAUAUACUCCGCCUCCUUCUGUGGUGGUGAUGACUGACCACUUUAAAUCAAUGGAAUAGAAAUCCAAACUUCUUCUGUAACACAGCCAAAACGACACGAGCCUAUUGGCUCUGAUACCAUGUAAUUGAAUGGUAGAUCUUCUCUUAUUCCAGUAGGUGAACAGUGAAUAAAUACAAUAUAUAAGGUGCUAACUAAGGAAAGAAAUAAAGAGUGAUCCCUAUAAAUCUGCUACCUAUAUAUAACUAUGUAUAUUACUAAGAUUAAGUCUAUAUACAUUCUAUAACACAUGUAAAUCAGUUCUGAGUCAUUGUGAGAUUUGCCCCUUAGCCAGACAUACCAGACUUCCUUUUGACAAUAGUAAUACUAAAACUACAGAAGCUUUUGCUUUAUUGCAUUUGGAUGUAUGGGGUCCUUAUAACACUCCAACUUUUGAUGGAAACAAAUAUUUCUUUACUAUUGUUGAUGAUUUCUCCAGAACUGUGUGGAUAUUUUUGUUAAAACUCAAAUGUGAUGUGUUGGUGAUUCUUAAACAUUUCUUUAGCAUGGUUACUACUCAAUUUAGUGCCAUCGUUAAGGGUGUAAGAACAGAUAAUGGAGGUGAAUUCAUCAAUACUCCCUUGCAAGACUUAUUUAAAAGUCUAGGGAUUAUUCAUUAUAGGACUUGUGCACAUACCCCUCAGCAGAAUGGGGUUGCUGAAAGGAAGCACAGACAUAUACUUGAGGUUGCUAGAGCUUUAAGGUUUCAGUGUCACAUACCAAUCAGAUUUUGGGGUCAUUGUGUCCUUACUGCUGCAUAUAUCAUUAACAGAUUACCUUUGCAUACUCUAGCAGGCAAAUCACCCUAUGAGCUUUUCUUUGGACAGAAGCCUUGUCUUAAACAUUUGAGGACACUUGGUUGUCUUUGUUUUGCAAGCACACUACCAAGGAUUGAUAAAUUUGCACCCAGAGCAGUUAAAUCAGUAUUCAUGGGUUAUUCAAGUGUUACCAAAGGCUAUAUCUGUUUUGAUCUACAACUACAUAAGUUUUUUGUGAAUAGAGAUGUGGUGUUUCAUGAGGAACAAUUCCCUUUUAGUCACUUAUCAUAAGAUCCCAUAUCUUCUCCUUCAACUUUUGAUCCAUGUACAGAUGAUGAUUUUCUUGUUGCUAGUCCUACCUCUCAUGUUAAUCCUUCUCCUAUGGCACAAGUAACACCUCUUGUCCCUCUAGUUCUUGUGUCCCCACAUCUUGUUAGUCCUGAGCAGCCUCUCAGAAGAUCUACUAGACUCACUAAACAACCUUUUAUGGUUAUUUGAAUAUGUUUCCAAGCCUUCUGCUAGUGCUGUUUUGUAUCCCCAGCAGCCUCAGUCUCCUACUCUCGUUUAUCUCCAUCUUAUCAGAAGUAUCUACAGGUUUUUUCUGCUGUCACUGAACCCUCUUCCUAUCAGGAAGCUAGCACUGAUACAAGAUGGGUAGAGGCUAUGGCAUCUGAAUUGCAAGCUCUUCAAGAUAAUAAUACUUGGGAUUUAGUUCCUCUCCCAAGAGGUAAAGUUCCGAUUGGAUGCAGAUGGGUUUAUAAGGUUAAAUUGAAGGCUAAUGGUGAAGUUGAGAGGUUUAAAGCGAGGUUGGUAGCAAAAGGUUACACUCAAAGGGAAGGGCUUGAUUUUCAUGAAACUUUUUCCCCUGUGGUUAAAAUAGCUACUGUCAGGACUGUUCUGUCUUUGGCUGCUCAGCAUAAUUGGUUUAUUCAUCAGUUAGAUGUCUACAAUGCAUUUUUACAGGGUGAUCUUCAUGAUGAGGUCUAUAUGCAAUUACCUGAGGGCCUUGCAAGUCAGGGGAAGUCUGGUCUAGUAUGCAGACUUGUCAAAUCCCUCUAUGGACUCAAACAGGCAAGCAGACAAUGGAAUUUGAAGCUAAGUGAUGCAUUGUUGAAGUCUGGUUUUAUUCAGAGCAGUCUAGAUCAUUCCUUAUUCAUUAAGAGGCAAGGAUUAGAUAUGGUGGUGAUUCUUAUCUAUGUGGAUGACAUGUUGGUAACAGGAAGUAGUUUGGAUCUUAUUGAACACACAAAAGCUACUCUACACAAAGCUUUUAAGAUCAAAGACCUUGGAGAAUUAAAGUUCUUUUUGGGGAUGGAGUUUAGUCGAUCAGCAAAAGGUAUCUUAAUGAAUCAAAGAAAAUAUGCUUUGGAAAUCAUUUCAGAUUUGGGAUUAGGAAAUGCUAAGCCAGCCUGGACUCCACUUGAAGCAAAUGCUAAAUUAACAAUCCCAGAAUUAGACUGCCUCACAGGAGAUUUAGAUGAUGAAUUGUUUGAUGAUAGAGAACAAUACCAAAGGUUAGUGGGCAAGAUGUUGUACUUGACCAUGACCAGACCAGAUAUUGCAUAUUCAGUUCAGACUCUUAGUUUUUACAGCAACCAAAAAAAUCACACUGGGAAGCAGCUGUGAGGGUGAUGAAGUAUAUUAAGAGAGAACCAGGGCUUGGAGUAUUAUUAAGCAGCAAAAGAUCAAGUAGACUAAGUGUGUACUGUGAUGCUGAUUGGGCAGCAUGUCCAAACACAAGAAGAUCAGUAUCAGGCUUUCUAGUUAGACAUGGUGAGACACUAUUGUCAUGGAAGUCAAAGAAACAAAGUGUAGUUUCCAGGAGUUCAGCAGAAGCUGAAUACAGGAGUAUGGCCAAUGCAGUCUCAGAAUUGGUGUGGAUAAUUGCUUUGUUGAAAGAACUAGGAAGUGAAGUUGAACAACCAGCUGUGGUGUACAGUGAUAGUAAAGCAGCCUUACAAAUUGCAGCAAAUCCAGUAUUUCACGAAAGAACAAAACACAUAGAAAUUGAUUAUCAUUUUAUUAGGCAAAAGAUACAGACAGGAAUGAUAAGAACAGAAUAUGUGAGUUCCAAAGAGCAACUAGCAGACCUAUUUCACUAAAGGGCUGCCCAGAUCACAACAUGAAUGUUUGGUAGGCAAGCUUGGUGUGUUGAAUGUUUUUACACCCACCAGCUUGAGGGGGAGUAAUGUGAUAGGAAUUACGUAAUGAUGUAUACAAAGUUAGUUAAGGGUAGUUAAGGAAUUAGAGAAACUUGUUAAUAAGUGGUGGUUAGUCGGUUAGAGGAAAAAAACAGUGUAUAAAACCACUGUUACAUUGUAAUUGGAUUAGUCAGUCAAUUUCUCUUUUCUGUAUCAUGAAAUAAGAAUCUCUCCUUUCUUCUUCUAUAACACAUCUGUGAAACACCAUUAAUGGUGAACUUAGAUUGAGUAAUUGGAUGUAAUUCAACAAGGUACACCUACUAGAGCUCGAGUUCUGGUGGAACUGGUAUGACAGAUAACACCUACUGGAGGUCGGCUAUUUGUUGUUGCUCUAAUCCUGCAGUUUGACAUAUGUAAUAAACGUUUUUCCUAGUUGGUAAGUUGACAAACUCAGCUCUGUAAACUUGGAAUAAGGUUUUAGUUGCUCUAUCUUGGUGAGUUUAAAAUUUGUGAUCACAAUCUGCAAUUGUAUACGAGUAGUUUCAAUGCAACUUUGAGUUUCUACUAGCCAAGCUUGUUAAUUUACUCUCUGGCUGAGGUUGAUUUUCUUUCUCAGAGGUUUUGCAUUUCUUAUCUUGCGUAGGACAAUUUGAUCAAGUGAAAAUUGAUAUCUGCAUUUGACUCUAAUUUCUGAGAUUGACCGAGUAUUAAUUUGUAAGUUUGAGUUGAGUCUUACUUGUGCAAUAUAAAAUUGGAAAAGUGGUGAUGUUUGGAUAGGAUUUUCUUGAUCAAGAUUGUUCCUGGAAGACAAGAUUAUUGCCCAAAUUAAGAUAAAACAUAAGAUUAAUUUUCUUUAAGAAAAACAUAGGAUUAAUUUUCUUGUUAACUUACAAGAUUCUCGCCCAAAUUAAGACAAGAUCUUGCUCAUGUGCUUUCUUUGUUUCCUCCACCUUGUUCGAUGAUAUCUAAUCAACACCAAGGGCUCCGUUUUGUGGCUAAUUUAUAUGAAGUAUAUUACCACGUGCAUAACUAUCUUAUGCCACUGUAAACUUGGUCUGCUAAACUGUUAUUUGCCUUUUAGAUCAUCAAUCAUCUGUCUGACAACUAGAAAGCAUGUGUGUUUAGUUUUGCCAUUGUUCCUUGGGAACUUCUAUCAGCAAAGAUAAUGACUAGUCAUGAAAAAGGUCACAUGAUCCUAUCAGAAGUUGAGUUUGUUGUCCUCUGAUUUGUAUACUUUUUUAUGCUACAGGUUAAUAUGAUACCAUGACUCCACCACAACCUCCAUUUGGAGCAAGACAGGUCUGUACCUCAAAUUUCUAUUAGCACAUAGAGCAUGUCGUUAAUCAUAUUUUUCUUUUAAGCAAGCUAAUCUAUGUUGUUUAGGCAUCUAAAGCCUUCACAUUUUGAGAGUGGAAGGACUCCUUGAAUAUUUGUGCUAUAAAACUUUUGUUUUCCUUAUUGUUUCUUGUAUGCUGAAAUUUUUCCACUCGUUAAUGUAAAAAUUUGCCCUAUAAGAAAAUUGAAUCAAAUAUUCAGAUAGUUGAAUAUACUUCACAUAAGAUUGUUUUUCUCACCAUCAUAAUGAUUUUAGGUAAAUGUAUUUUUUAUUGAUUUUGGACUAGUUCCAUGAGUUAAUUAUAGUCAAUGCUUCCUGAUUGGGUAUAGAACUAUAACUAGAUUGUACUUUGGAGUGGAUUUUUUUUACUGUUUACUUUAUAUUUUAACUGUUUCAAUACCUUUUUCUCUUUAUAAAUGAAGCCUAAUGUCACGGACUUGCUGAUUUUAGAAAUAAUUAUCUAAUUAGACAAACUUAUACUUAUACACAGUUAGCCAAUUCUCCUGAGUUGGAUGCAAAGAUGUGUGACAUAUGCUACAGCACGGCUGCAGCUCCAACAUAUUUUCCACCACAUUAUUUUGUCACUAAUGAUGCUAAAGGAAAUCAAGUUGAGUUCAAUCUUAUUGAUGGUAGUGUUGCUGCUGCAAAUCUGGUACGUAAUUAGACAUACUUCACUAUCAUAUAUACUAUUAUUACCUGUACUUUUUAAAAUACUACGUAUCUUAUCAUCAAUUAAGAGUUUCCCACUACAACAAAAAUGAGCAAUAGUGACAAUAAAUUCUUAAUUGCUGCUAAAUAUAUACUUUUCGCGGCAAUUAACACUCUUUGUAUAUGUCCCUAAAGUCUUUAGCGACAUUGCAUCUAAUGGCACUUAAUUAAUGCCGAUAAAGACUUUAGCUGUAACAAACUCAAUUCCAACAAAAGCACUCUUAUAUAUAUUAAUCAGUGAAUACAAGUUACAAGGUAGAAUACGCAUAACAAAGUAAUAAUACACUAACUAAGGAAAGAUAAACCGAGAAAGAAGUAACUAGAAAGGGAUGAGAUACAAGACCAUAGAGAGGAGAUGAGAGGAUCAGAAAGCCAAAUGUCACGGACUUAGAGUCUUACUAAUACUCUGUGCGGCACUUGACAACUUACUCACGAAUCUUUCACGAUCUUGUAAGCUCAAGUAAGCCCUUUAUGCUAAGAUCGCUAAGGAAAUGUAAAGGAAGACUUAGAAAGAUUAAAGAGAGCUUUUUGGAAGAAGGCUUUUGUAUUAGCUUGGAAGGAAUGCUUUACAACUUGCUUGGUUGCUUUCUUGGUUGGAUGCCUUGCAAAUGAAUGGCACCACCUAUUUAUACUAAAUCCUAAGGACUAAAGUGCAAAUAAAAAUUACUUACAAGUCCCUCUAAUAUUUACACAAAAGCCCCUCUUCUAGAAUUCUCUAUACCUCUAGAGAAUUCUAAGGCUUUCUUGAAACUAUCUAAAUUAUUCUAGAGAAUUCUAAGGAAUUCUCUAGCCUUCUUGAAUAAUCUAAAGGGUUCUAGAGUCUUCCGGAAACCUCUCCACAACUCUAGACCCUUCCGCCCCUAUCCGGACGCAAAAUUCUACUGCGAAGUGGCGGGACGUGACACUAAGCUAUUAGCUGCAGCCCGAUAAAUGCUAAUUGGUUGGAAACAUUUGGUGGAGACGAAAGAGAAUUUGUAUAGAAGAUUGGUCAAGGUGAUUCUAGUUUAAAGUUGUUAGAAGGUAAAUGAGUAAUGAUUGGCAUUAAAAAAUUGUCUCGUAUAUAUCAUCCAAAUGAUUUAUGGCAUUAGAUACGUCUUAUUCAUAUAAAUACCUUUUAGUUUUUUAUUUUUUGACAUAUGGUGCAGAUCACAAAGAUUCUGGCUUUUAGUCCUGAUGGUCAGUUGCCUUCUCCUGAAAGCAUUGAUGGGCAUAUAAGAGUCGGACACAACUUCAGGUAGUCUGAAGGGAAAAUUUGAAGGUCCUAAAAGGGAAAUAAAUACAAGUGAAACAUUUCCUUAUGCCUAAGAAAUUCAUCUUUGCAUGACAAUUUGAGAUCCAGUGGAUCUGAUAGCAUCUAAGAAGACAUCUGGUGCAGAGUAUCCUGUUGUUUUGAUGUGGAAUGAUGACAUCCGAGAGGACACGAGAUAAUGGUUUAUGAGAGGAUAUAGAUAUGUACUCUAUGAUGUUUAGGGAUUUGAAAUAUGGAAGAUUAUUGAAAUUAGAAUAAGAUUAGCUUUUUGAAUCAAGUGGUGUAAUUUUUUUCAUAUUAUGAUUAUGAAUGAAUUGUUACUUUUUUGUUUAUUGUGAUUUUAAUGAAGGACGUC